GACGAACGCUGGCGGCGUGCUUAACACAUGCAAGUCGAACGGAAAGGCCCUGCUUGCAGGGUACUCGAGUGGCGAACGGGUGAGUAACACGUGGGUGAUCUGCCCUGCACUUCGGGAUAAGCUUGGGAAACUGGGUCUAAUACCGGAUAGGAGCCAUCUUUAGUGUGGUGGUUGGAAAGUUUUUUCGGUGUAGGAUGAGCUCGCGGCCUAUCAGCUUGUUGGUGGGGUAAUGGCCUACCAAGGCGGCGACGGGUAGCCGGCCUGAGAGGGUGUACGGCCACAUUGGGACUGAGAUACGGCCCAGACUCCUACGGGAGGCAGCAGUGGGGAAUAUUGCACAAUGGGCGCAAGCCUGAUGCAGCGACGCCGCGUGGGGGAUGAAGGCCUUCGGGUUGUAAACUCCUUUCGCUAUGGACGAAGCUUUGUUGUGACGGUACCUAGAGAAGAAGCACCGGCUAACUACGUG
rnacentral:rRNA from 1 species